GAUGAACACUGGCGGUGUGCCUAAUACAUGCAAGUCGAGCGAACAGACGAGGAGCUUACUCCUCUGACGUUAGCGGCGGACGGGUGAGUAACACGUGGAUAACCUACCUAUAAGACUGGGAUAACUUCGGGAAACCGGAGCUAAUACCGGAUAACAUGUUGAACCGCAUGGUUCAACAGUGAAAGACGGUCUUGCUGUCACUUAUAGAUGGAUCCGCGUCGCAUUAGCUAGUUGGUAAGGUAACGGCUUACCAAGGCAACGAUGCGUAGCCGACCUGAGAGGGUGAUCGGCCACACUGGAACUGAGACACGGUCCAGACUCCUACGGGAGGCAGCAGUAGGGAAUCUUCCGCAAUGGGCGAAAGCCUGACGGAGCAACGCCGCGUGAGUGAAGAAGGUCUUCGGAUCGUAAAGCUCUGUUAUUAGGGAAGAACAAAUGUGUAAGUAACUAUGCACGUCUUGACGGUACCUAAUCAGAAAGCCACGGCUAACUACGUG
rnacentral:rRNA from 1 species